CCUACGGGACGCAGCAGUGAGGAAUAUUGGUCAAUGGACGAGAGUCUGAACCAGCCACGUAGCGUGAAGGAUGACUGCCCUAUGGGUUGUAAACUUCUUUUAUAAAGGAAUAAAACGAGGCAAGUGUGCCUUUUUGCAUGUACUUUAUGAAUAAGGAUCGGCUAACUCCGUGCCAGCAGCCGCGGUAAUACGGAGGAUCCGAGCGUUAUCCGGAUUUAUUGGGUUUAAAGGGAGCGUAGAUGGGUUGUUAAGUCAGUUGUGAAAGUUUGCGUCUCAACCGUAAAAUUGCAAUUGAAACUGGCAGUCUCGAGUACAGUUGAGGUAGGCGGAAUUCGUGGUGUAGCGGUGAAAUGCUUAGAUAUCACGAAGAACCCCGAUUGCGGAGGCAGCUUACUAAACUGUGACUGACAUUGAUGCUCGAAAGUGUGGGUAUCAAACAGGAUUAGAUACCCUAGUAGUC
rnacentral:rRNA from 1 species